ACUAACCAUUUCACUCAUAUUUUAUUAAAAUUUGUGUCUUUUACAUUAUGGCAAUUUUUUUUAGACAGAGGAAGUAUAUAAUUUUCCCAAAUGAUCCUUAAUUGACAAGAGAGACCAAAAUAGAGUGAAAAGAGUUGAUACAAUCCAAAAAACUCAAAGAGACUGCAGAUGUUCUUAUAACUACGAGGUCUAUUUUUUGGCAAUAAAUUGCUAAAACAUUCUAUAUCUAGUAUAAGAAAAGAUAUGACCUAUGGUAGAGCAUUUAACAGCUACAAACAUGACAAAGCAUGAACAUCAACUCGAGUGUUUGCAAACUCCAAAACUGCACUUGAGGGAAACAAUACCUCACAAAAAAAUAGCCGAUUCGCAUAAAACUCAUCAGUCAUCACGAACCAAAAACCUGAAAUACAUGCAUGAAGAUUCUAAAUAUCAAACACAUACNGUUCUUAUUCAAUUACUUUAAGAAAGUAUGCCAUUUAGAAGAGAAAUUUGAGGAAAAGUUGAAUUCAAUUUGAAUUUAAUCGAAAAAAAAUAUAAGUAACGAAGAAAUUGAUGAAAAUCGCGCAAUUUUGUACAAAUGUUCUUGAAUUGACAACCAAGUUUAUGAAUUCACAACUAAAUUAUCAGCAUUGGUUGUGAAUUCACAACUUGAAAUAGCGUGAAUUCACAACCAACACUUAUUAUUCACAACCAAUACUUGAAUUCAGUUGUGAAUUCAAGUUUUAAAGCUUAAAUUCACAACCAGUGAACUGUGGGUAUUUGUAAAAAAUUUAUAUGUAAGGGUAAAAUGGUAAAUGUGGGUAUUUUUUAAAAUUUUUAUAUUAGUGGGUAAAAUUUAUUUUUACUAUAUAAAAGUGGGUAUUCUUAUAUAUUAUCACAAUAAAUAAUCUAUUAUGUCUUCUUACUUUUUUAUACACAUAUUAAGAAGAGGUAUCAUUUACGAAUAGAGUAGAUGAUCCCACUAGCUCAAUGUAGUGGGCGGAUGGGGGGCACUGAAGCCCCCUCCCAAAUUUUCAGUUUAUAUAUAUAUAUAUAUAUAGGGAGAGGUUCAGGAAAGAACCAUAAAUAAAAGAAGAACGGAGAACCAUUUUCAGCCAUUCGAUCAUCAAGAUCUACGGUGGAUACAUCAUCUUGUUGGAUGAAUGCAGAUCCUGGGUUCGAAUCCUGAAGGGAGCAUUUUUUUUAUUUUUUGAGUGCAUUAAUUUUAACAACGGAUGCAUUAAUUUUUACAGUGAAUGCAUUAGAUUUUAUGGUUCUCUCGUUCUCACAAAUAAUGUAGUUCUCUCUAGAACCACACCCUAUAUAUAUAUAUAUAUAUACUAUACUAAUAAUAUAUAUAUAUAUAUAUAUAUAUAUAUAUAUAUGAGAAUGACUAUUUUCGUGAAAAAUGAGUAUAUAUAGUUGAAUAAACUGUUUAUAAUGCAUGAAUAGUUGUAAUUUAGUUAAUUGAGGAAAUUUUCGCCUCCUCUAAAAUUCGAACUUAUGUUUGAAUGAUUAUUCAUGUAUUACAAGCACCUUAUUCAACCUUAUAUACUGAUUUAGUCAUAAAUUUUUUUUUUUUGAUAAAUUGUAUAAGUAAAUAAAAAAAUUCAAAUACCGUGCGACGGAGGACUCGAACUAAUCUCCUACCGCUAGGCUAAUACACGCACACUAUUCAUAUCAAUUCACAUUCUUAUGAAAUAGAGCAUUCUCACUGGAUCGUUUUUUCUCUUUCUACAUAUAAUUUGUACAAGUUUAUAUUCACUGACAUAUUUAUACUUUUGUAUGUGUUUAUCCAAAAAUAGAAAGGACUUCCCUGGUGCAGAAGGCCGGGAAAAGAAUUUCAGAAAUGUGAUUGAUUUCCAUGUAGGAUGCAAUGAGUAAUGUUUAAUUACAUAUUUUUAAUAUUAUUUAUAUUUCUUUUUCUCUAAUACAAUUGACAUUGACUCUUUGUUAUUAUUUUCUUAUAUGCAGAAAUUAUACGAUAUAUUGCCUAAGUCAUGCACCUCGAAAGUGAAUGUUAGUUUGGUAAGUAAAGUUGUACAAUUAGUAUAUAUCUAAUAAAAAUAUGUUGUUUAUAUUGAGAGAAUUUAUAUAUUGUAAUAUUUUAUAGUGCCUUUUUGCCGAAUAUUUGGUUGGAGAUGUUCAGACACCACUCUUCUUAUUGAACCCCAUUUUCGACUCAUAUCAGGUAAAAUAAUAGUAGUAUUAAAUUUUCUCACAUUUUUUCUACUUAUAAAAUCAGUAUAUUUUUAAUUAAUUUUCUCAGGUAAAAUAUUUGAGCCCUAAUCCUCCUGAGCUUGAGGGUUGGAACACUUCUUGCGUCAAUGUUACAGCUAAUCCGGCGCCUCCUCCUACUCCAAAUACCUGCACACCACCUCAAAUGAAAUUCAUCAAGGGUAUUUUAAUUUCAAUAAAUUAAUAUCAUCUAAAAUGUCCAAUAUUGUCAAUAAUAUAAUUUUAUAUCAUAAUAUAACAUCUAUUAAGUAUUAAGUGACAGAAUCGUUAGUACUUUCUGAUUCACUCACUUCGUAUUUAGCGAAUGUUGGAUUAUGAUACAAAAUUGUAUUUUUUAGAUGUUAUCAGGGACGGAGGCGGGGGGGGGGCUAGAGCCCCCUCCCAAAUUUUGAGUUUUUUUAAAAAAAAUAUAUAUAUAGAUAUAUGUUUAUACCUAUUAUAAAAUAAUUUUGUUUAUAAAAGAGUAUUUGGUUAUUAUAUUCUCUCAUGUAUACUUAAUUUAAGGAUAAUUUUGUUAUUUAAAACUAUAUAAUCUAUGAAAUAUUGUUUGUUAUUAUUACUAUUAUACUUGUCUUUUAAUAAAAAAUGUCUAAUAUGUAUGAAAUGCUAAAAAAAAUUAUAAUGUAUUGAAACUAAUUUGUAAUAUAUAGAAAAUAUAUAAUCUAUGAACAUGUUGUUUGUUAUUAUUAUUAUUAUGCUUGCCUUUUAAUAAAAAAUGUCUUAAAUAUACGGAACGUCCAAAAAAAGUUUUGUGAUAUAUUGAAACUAUAUAAUCUAUGAAAAUAUUGUUCGUUAUUAUUAGUAUUAUGCUCGUAUUUUAAUAAAAAAAAUACCUUAAAUAUACAGAAUGCCCAAAAAGAAAAUCUGCGUUCAAGUUCACCCCCCCCCCCCCCCGAAUUUAAUUCCUAGCUCCGUCCCUGGAUGUUAUCGAUGGUGCAAGACAUUUUAGUUUAUAUGAAAAUAGGUUGUAAUAUUAUAAAGUAGACAUAUUUUUAUACAGAAAUUACAAGUGAAAUAAAAUCUGAUUUAAUUACAGAUUUUGGGGCUACAUUCUUAGAUGCAAUAAAUGGACUUCCUGAUAAUCCAUCAAGGGGGCUUUUCAUGACCUCUUGCUUCUAUCAUGUUUUAACCGUAUCAAAUGCUCUUUGGAAUGGAUCAACCUGCAAACUGCAAGAUAAGGUAGCUCUUUUUUUUUUAUCAUUUUUUUCACAAUUAUUUACUAUAUAUAUAUUAUCAUUAUAUAUAUACAUAUUAGUUUGUGUACGUGACUAAUAAAUUACAGAAAAUGCUUGAUAGUUGCAAUUUUUAUUCUUCUUCUGCUUUAAGUUCUACUAGAUUUACCCUAUGUGUGAUGCACAUAUACAUACAUACAAGGAAAUUCAAUGGAAAACACUAAAUAUUCAAAGAACAGAGAACAUUGAACAUGUCAAUGUUAAACGUUCGUACAAAUAAUUUUAUUGAACGGAUUUAUAUCAGGGUUCGAACCUCAUGAACCUCAAACGUUCAAUAAAAUUAUUUGUACGAACAUUUAACGUUAAACGGGAAUUAUUGACAUGUUUAAUGUUCUUUAUUAUUUGAAUAUUUGGUAUUCUCCAUUGAACCUAACUUCAUACAUAUAUGUAUAUAAUAUGACACAUGCAUAAGUAUUUAAUUUUAUACAUUAUUCAUUAUUGCACUACAAAAAAAAAAUAGAAUAGUAUAUUAACAGAAUAAAAGCUUUAAUAUUUCAUAAAAUUAUUUUUCAGAAACAAAAAUUUGCCAAAAUGAAAUAACUCAUUUGUUUUCAAGAUGAAAUAAUACUUGGUUACCAAAAUUUAUUUUAUAUGUGCAGACUAUUUCACAAGCUAUUGGCGAUUGGUAUUUCGAUCGAAGUCCUAUCAGAAUGAUAGACAAUCGGAUUGAUGCUCCUGUUAAGUGUGGAUAGAAUUAGCCGAUCCAAAAAAAAAGUGUUCUUAUUUCAUGUAGCGAUUAUAAAUAAAAAUAUUAAUAGUAAUUUAUGGCUGCAACUUUCACAAUUUUUUAAUUUUUACUUAAUCCUUCGUCUACGAAACAUACUGUGUCACAAUUUUCUUCUGGAUCCGCUCACAAAAAAAUUAAAUUAAGACAAAAUUUUCGUGAUCAGAGGGAAUAAUAGAAUCACACAACUUCACUCACAUUUCACUAACCAUUUCACUCAUAUUUUAUUAAAAUUUGUGUCUUUUACAUUAUGGCAAUUUUUUUUAGACAGAGGAAGUAUAUAAUUUUCCCAAAUGAUCCUUAAUUGACAAGAGAGACCAAAAUAGAGUGAAAAGAGUUGAUACAAUCCAAAAAACUCAAAGAGACUGCAGAUGUUCUUAUAACUACGAGGUCUAUUUUUUGGCAAUAAAUUGCUAAAACAUUCUAUAUCUAGUAUAAGAAAAGAUAUGACCUAUGGUAGAGCAUUUAACAGCUACAAACAUGACAAAGCAUGAACAUCAACUCGAGUGUUUGCAAACUCCAAAACUGCACUUGAG
rnacentral:lncRNA from 1 species